CAACAACUUCCACCUAUAGGCAAGAAGACUGAAUCUUGUGUUUCCAUUGUAUUUCCACACAUCCCUGUGAAACCAGAGCAGACCAGAAUACCUACUAUGUGUUAGUCAUCAGUCGUGUCCAACUCUUUGGGAACCAACCCAUGGAGGUAGUCCACCAGAGUCCUCUGUCCAUAGCAUUCUCUAGGCAAGAAUACUGGAGUGGGUAGCCAUUUCCUUCUCCAGGGGAUCUUCAAGACCCAGGGACUGAACCCAGAUGUCUGGCAUUGCAGGCAGAUUCUUAACCAUCUGAGUCACCAGGGAAGCUCAUCUGGUGUAUACUAGGUGAAAUAAAUCCUUAAAUAGAGAAUGUGGACAGAGGGAGUAGAUUCUUUCAGGACCAGCUUGAGUCGCUCCCCUGGAUCCAUGCAGAGAUGCAAUGCUGAGACCCCUGCCCUGUCACAUCUCUCUAAGCUCCUCUCCCUUUAUUUUUCUUCCUCUUCUCCUUCCCCUCACAACCUUUCCAGAGAAGGGCCUGGAGGAAGAGGUACAUGAAACAGGAGAGUGCAUGUGUUUGGUGAGGAGCAUAUCACUAGGCCUGGUUGGAGAGGAGACAGCAGCAAUAGGUUUAAAAACACAAGGGCUGAUUUCAGGUCUUCUAGGAGAAGCAGGAGAACCCAGGAAGCUGGAUGCUAGCAGGAGAACCCAGGAAGCUGGAUGCUAGCAGGAGAACCCAGGAAGCUGGAUGCUAGCUGUUGGCACAUGACAGGCAAGGUCUUUCGUUCUGCUUAAAUGCAGGAUAGCACUUUGCUUCUUCCUCUUACUGAGCAUCUAGUAUGUGCCAAGGUCUUAACCUGACUCUGGGGAAGGUGUACAAAACUCUCAGGAGACUCACUCUGACUGCGGAGGCAGGGUUCACAUGCAUAAGAAACAGGCAACUGAUGAUGACUGGAGUAAGGUGUUCUGAGCAAUACUGAAAGGCUGGGAUGGAAGUGCAAUUAGAAGGCACAGAGUUAAUCAUCAGCCUGAAGGAGGAUGACUGAGAGUCCCGGGGGCUGAGAAGGGCACAGUGAGGUGUGGAGUGAGGAGCAUCUGUCAGAACAGUGAGUUAUCCACAGUGGCUCAGAGUAAGAUGCUUUAGCAGCUGGCCACGACGAGCCUGCAAAACAAGCUUGGUAAGUGCUGUCCUUGGGGUAUGAACUUGAACAUGCAGGCUAAAGGUCAACAGUUUCUGCACAGAGCCAGAUCAUGAAUACUUUUGGCUGGACAAUCUCUGCUGCAACUAGUCAACUCUGCUCUUGCAGGGCAAAAGCAGCCAUAGACAAUACGCAAAUGAAAGGGCAUGGCUGUGUUCCAAUAAAAUUUUAUUGACAGAAACAGAAACUCAUAUGGAUUUGGCCGGUGGCUGGAUUUGCUAACCCCUCUCCUCUCAGUAGAUUGACGCAUAGCCACACUUGUCUCAAGUUAUACAAACAAAGGAAUCAUUCUGAAACCAGGUGUGCUCCCUAAAGUAUACAUUGACACAGGUGUCUAUUAAGAAUAGAUCACCACAGAUCUAACCUGUAAAUCUGACAUUGCAUCUGAGAUGGAAAGGGUGUCUUGCAAAGGAAAAUGUGAAAAAUUGGGUUGAUUAAUGUAAAACAGGGGCCAGCAUGUUAAAUGAACACCAUCCAUCUUCUUUUCUUUUAAUAUUGAAGUGAGAAGAAGGACUUGGAUUAAUGCCCUCAUCAAUGACUAACUCCUCCCUGUCUUCACAGAAUAAAACUAACUUGCCAAAUGAGGAAACAAGAAAAAACAGCAACAACAACAGCAGCAACAAAAUCAACAAUAAAAACCAACCUUUCUUUCUGAAGACGGUUUCCAAACAGAACACAUACAAAUUCUGUGGUAAUUAACAACAUCCACCUCCCUUACUAUGCUGAAGUUUCUGCAAACCAGAAUUAAAUUGAACAUGUCAACUCUAAAUCUCCUGUCACAGGGAAUUUUGUAGCAAGUCUUCAUGAUGGCACAAAUGUAAUCUUUAGUACAGCCUGAGGAGGAACUAAGAUCAUAAAGAGGUUUUUCAGUAAGACAAGGACCUGCUUUAAUACAGUCCAAGGCAAGAUGCCCCCAUGUUAAAAAGAACUAUGUCCUGAAAUUUUCCGUGCAAUUUGAAUAAUUUUUCUCUCAGAAACAUAGUAUAAAUGUAGGUUAGUUCCCAGGCCUAGCCCUGUAAAAGCUUAUUUAAACCAAAGGAGAAAUGAAAACAGUAGGAAGCAAUGGCUUUGUAAUACCA
rnacentral:lncRNA from 1 species